UGGUAGGAUAGCGUAAUUAACGCGAUGAAGGAUGACCGUAAGGACAUGUUGGAGCGUUAACUAGUGAGAAUUCCGGUAUGAGUAGCGAAAGAUAGGUGAGAAUCCUAUCCACCGAAUGAGUAAGGUUUCCCCCGGAAGGCUCGUCCGCGGGGGGUUAGUCGGGACCUAAGGCGAGGCUGAAAAGCGUAGUCGAUGGACAACAGGUUGAUAUUCCUGUACCGAUAUUUAAUUGCCGAAGGAAGGACGCAGAAGGAAACACAGGCCACUAUUGGAUG
rnacentral:rRNA from 1 species